rnacentral:rRNA from 1 species
CCAGCUCCAAUAGCGUAUAUUAAAGUUGUUGCGGUUAAAAAGCUCGUAGUUGGAUCUCGGCGGGUAGGGGACGGUCCGCUGUUUGGCGCGACUGUCCCAUUCGCCCGUGAAUGGUGUGGCGGAGGCGUCAGGGUGCUCUUAACCGAGUGUCCUGGGGCGCCGCCAGGUUUACUUUGAAAAAAUUAGAGUGCUCAAAGCAGGCUUUACACGCUUGGAUAUUCGUGCAUGGAAUAAUGGAAUAGGACGUCGUUUCUAUUUUGUUGGUUUUCGGAAAUCGACGUAAUGAUUAAUAGGGACAGUCGGGGGCAUUAGUAUUCAGACGACAGAGGUGAAAUUCUUGGACCGUCUGAAGACUAACUACUGCGAAAGCAUUUGCCAAGAAUGUUUUCAUUAAUCAAGAACGAAAGUUAGAGGUUCGAAGGCGAUCAGAUACCGCCCUAGUUCUAACCAUAAACGAUGCCAGCUAGCGAUCCGCAGCUGUUUUAUUAUUAGGCUCUGCGGGAAGCUUCCGGGAAACCAAAGCGUUUGGGUUCCGGGGGAAGUAUGGUUGCAAAGCUGAAACUUAAAGGAAUUGACGGAAGGGCACCACCAGGAGUGGAGCCUGCGGCUUAAUUCGACUCAAC